rnacentral:lncRNA from 1 species
AUUGCGUUAGGAACAGGGGACAGGGUGCGAUGGGGAACGGGACCCAAUGAAGGAACAGGGCGCGGUGGAGGACGGGGUGCCGUGGAAGAACUGGGUGCAAUGGAGGAACGGGGAGAGAGGACGCGGUGGGAAACGGGAAUAAGGGCGCCGUGGAGAAUAGAGUUGGGAGCGGAGGUGGAAAACGGGAUGCAGUGGAGGAACGGGACACGGUGAG